CAUUAUUGAAUUAUGUUUUCUAGAUGGGUUGUAGCUGGCUCUUAGGAGCAUGUGCACGCCUGUUUGGAUCUCAUUUUCAUCCACCUGUGCACCUUUUGUAGUCUUUGUUGGGUAUUGAGGAAGUGGUCAGCCUGUCAGCAUUGCUGGAUAUGAGGACUUGCAGUGCGGAAGCAUUGCUAUUCUCUACUUGGCCACGGAAUCUUUUUCCUUUCAAAGUCUAUGUUAUUCAUUAUACCCUAUAGAAUGUUAUUGAAUGUCUUUACAUGGGCUUCUAUGCCUAUGAAAAUUGUAAUACAACUUUCAGCAACGGAUCUCUUGGCUCUCGCAUCGAUGAAGAACGCAGCGAAAUGCGAUAAGUAAUGUGAAUUGCAGAAUUCAGUGAAUCAUCGAAUCUUUGAACGCAUCUUGCGCUCCUUGGUAUUCCGAGGAGCAUGCCUGUUUGAGUGUCAUUAUAUUCUCAACUCCCCUAUACUUUAUUGUAAAGGAGAGCUUGGAUUGUGGGGGUUUGCUGGCCACUUACUGGGGUCAGCUCCUCUGAAAUGCAUUAGCGGAACUGUUUGCGAUCUGCCACAAGUGUGAUAAAUUAUCUACACUAAAGGGGGAUUGCUCUCUAUGUUCAGCUUCUAAUCGUCUUAGUGACAAUUUCUUGAAUGCUUGACCUCAAAUCAGGUAGGACUACCCGCUGAACUUAAGCAUAUCAAUAAGCGGAGGAAAAGAAACUAACAAGGAUUCCCCUAGUAACUGCGAGUGAAGCGGGAAAAGCUCAAAUUUAAAAUCUGGCGGUCUCUGGCCGUCCGAGUUGUAAUCUAGAGAAGUAAUGCCCGUGCUGGACCGUGUAUAAGUCUCCUGGGAUGGGGCGUCAUAGAGGGUGAGAAUCCCGUCUUUGACACGGACUACCAGUGCAUUGUGGUAUGCUCUCAAAGAGUCGAGUUGUUUGGGAAUGCAGCUCAAAAUGGGUGGUAAAUUCCAUCUAAAGCUAAAUAUUGGCGAGAGACCGAUAGCGAACAAGUACCGUGAGGGAAAGAUGAAAAGAACUUUGGAAAGAGAGUUAAACAGUACGUGAAAUUGCUGAAAGGGAAACGCUUGAAGUCAGUCGCGUUGACUAGGGAUCAGCCUUGCUUUUGCAUGGUGUACUUUCUGGUUGACGGGUCAGCAUCAAUUUUGACCGCUGGAAAAGGGCCUGGGGAAUGUGGCAGCUUCGGCUGUGUUAUAGCCCCUGGUUACAUAGCGGCGGUUGGGAUUGAGGAACUCAGCACGCCGCAAGGCCGGGUUUCG
rnacentral:rRNA from 1 species